GCCACUAUGCUGAGUGAGAUGUGCUGAUCACAAAGGACAGCUGCUGCAUUACUGUCCUUUUAUGAGUCCUGCAGAAGAGUCCAAGUCAUAAAGAUGGGACACUAGAGGAUGGCUGGAGGGGCUGGGGAGGCGUUUCGAGGAGGCUUCAGGGAACAGCUGGAUACCCAGUGCCUGCUGGUGUGAUUCUGCAGGAGGCCCAGGCAUUGUGCUGGAAGCUCUAGGCAAAGGAUGAAGCUUGCCCCUAAGCACAUCUCUAGAGGAUCUCGACCCAUUGUGCAUUCCUAUCCGUGGACCGACUUGUCCUUUGCCGUUGUUCCUUCUCAAGGUUUCUCCCCAUUGAGUGCUCUUUCACAUCUGUGAAUUGAACCAGGAGGACCAGGGGCACUCCCAUAUGCUUAAAACUGAUAAUGAAUUCUCUGCAUUAUGCAUAGUCAUGUUUUCUAGAAAAGUCCUGUGAAAAUAAAGCUGUCCUACAUUCUGUGUUUAGGGUUA